rnacentral:rRNA from 1 species
UACGUAGGGUGCAAGCGUUUGUCCGGAAUUAUUGGGCGUAAAGAGCUCGUAGGCGGUUUGUCGCGUCUGCUGUGAAAACCCAAGGCUCAACCUCGGGCCUGCAGUGGGUACGGGCAAACUAGAGUGCGGUAGGGGAGAUUGGAAUUCCUGGUGUAGCGGUGGAAUGCGCAGAUAUCAGGAGGAACACCGAUGGCGAAGGCAGAUCUCUGGGUCGUAACUGACGCUGAGGAGCGAAAGCGUGGGGAGCGAACAGG